UAUCUGUCAUUACAGAGCAGAAAAUCCUAAGAAAUACACUCUUCCGUGUCAGCAAAAUGAAAACUUUGAGAUCCUCUGGGUGGUCAUCUCACAUCCUCAAAAGGGAUCCUCUCAAAAGUUAUCACAGUAUUUGCAACCAUUAUGGCCCUUAACACCUAGAAGUGGGGACCAAGAAGUUCAAUUCAGAAGAGAUUAAGAACUACACAUAAAAAGCAACCUACAGAUUUUCCAGGAGCUCCAAGGACUCAUCACGAGCAGCCUUUACCGAGUUGCUUUUCUUCCAACCUUGUGGAUUACGAGAGGUGCUGGGCUCAGUGGCUGCUGGCUGCUGGCUGCCAGCUCCUUGGUGCUGGGGGCCCCUAGUCUCAGAGGGGAUUUCACUGCAGCCCAAGAUGACUGCUGGUUCAGCUCCUGCUGGUCCAACAAGCCUGUGUGAGGAAUGUUUCCCCCUUUUUCCAUCUCCUCCAACCUGUAACUCCUACCUCGUCAGAAAGAGAAGGCAGUACAACUCUCCCAAGCCUACCAGUCCUCACCUGCCAUCCUCCCUGUGGCCUUCAGACCCUUAGCUGGAGCUCCUACCCAGGUCACCGCAACCUCCUAACUGCCUAGCCCACCGCUCCAGCUCUGCCCAAGUAAUGCCAAGGUAAUUCCCUCUCUGACCCAUAGCCGUUCCUCUGUCACCUUCAAUGGCUUCUCAUCUACCUACCCUCUGACUCAAGCACUUCCCAAGGUAUGCUUGCAAUGAGUAACUCUUAAACACAGAAUACAGAGCAAAAGAAUCCGGAUGCAUCCAA